rnacentral:lncRNA from 1 species
GCGGAGAGUGCGCGGCGGAGAGGAGCGGGGAGUGAGAGAGGGCGGGGAGGCGGCGCCGCUUUUAUAUGGAGACUAGGCAGGGAGCCGGGAGGAGGAGGAAGAGGAGGAGGAAAGGACCACCCGGCACAUCCUCACGCGGUGGCUGCCUCCGCUCUUCCAGCCGUUGGCCCGGGGCUGAUGUCAUCUGCAGCAAAUCAUCUCGCCCGCGGCCCGGAAGCUGGAGGGACGAGGUGUGCGGACAAUGGUCGGGGCAGGGCCGCGAGCCAAGGGGCUGGGGCGCCCGCUGAGCUCCUGCUGCAGCCGUGAAGGGGGAAGACGCUCUCAACCUACACCACCCACCACGUACACACCCACUGCCCACUCCUCACCCUCACCCUGUCUGUGCAUGGGAAUGGGAUGAGUUUCCAUUUUCGGAGUGGGGGUCUUUUCUCUUGUUGGAGUUGCACUAGUCAGGCCUCUGCCUUGUGUGCUGUGUAUGAUGUAGCCAGGUUCUCAGGAACUGGGAUAGCCACAGUGGGCAGAUGCGGGGCUGUGGGUACCCCGCCUAGGAAGACGGAACCUGUCUUUUCUUUGACCUUGUGGCUUUAAGAAGACGAAUUUACUGAUAUUUACCAAUAUCAAUAUUUACCACCUUCACUUAAAGAAUACAUCAAAAAUGCAAAACUUAAGCCUACUAUUGUUCAGGCCUUGGAUUCUACUCUGGCAGGGCCAAGGAUGAAAAAGUACUGGCUUUGUGGUGCUCAUGGGAAAUGAGAGAAAUGCAGAUGUAUUAUAUUAGAUACCAAUUUCUUUCCUUAAUGUGCUGAACAGAUAGUAUCAGUAAUAACAAAGAAUAAAGAGAAGAUACUGUCUCUACUCAGCAGGGUUACAGUGACUAUAAUGUACUUUUCAGUUCCUUGGGGAACACACAAGCAAAAUUACCUCGUGACAAUGAUGUCUUUUAAAAUACCUGUAGCAUUGGGAAUUUUUAUUGCCUUUGUUUGUGUUUAGAAGAACUAAAAAAUGUGUUUUUUGUUUUUGUUUUUUUGUUUUUUUUUUUAAGGCAGCCUAUUUACAACCGUUUCUCACAAACAUACUGAAUAUAGCUUCUGUCCCAGAAAAGGGGAGGAGGGUGAGGAAAGAGCAAAAUGUGCAAACAUGGUAUCAUAGAAGACUGGGGAAUUCGAGCUUUAAGGAAGAGGAAUAGAUGGAAAUUAGUCAACAUAGCUUUAAUACUAGAAUGCCUGUUAGUAAAAUAUAGAUGAUAGAUAGAUAGAUAGAUAGAUAGAUAGAUAGAUAGAUAGAUAAUCACCUAGAUAUUCUUAAGAUUUCCAAAAUAACCCAGUGUCUUAGGUGUUAGCUGCCAUGACUUAUUGGUCAUGUACUCUUUGCUCUUAUAUCUUUCCUGACACCCUGGCAUGGGAGACAUGCUGGGCAGCCAAGGGCUGGGGGGUUCCAUCCAACAUGUCAAUCUGAUCAAUGCAGAAUGAAAAUACCGUCUGGCCCGCAGUAUUUGGGAUCUGUGACAGGAUCACUAGAGAGUUGCAUUCACCAGUAAUUAGAUGAAGUGUUUCCAACUAGCUGCAUUCACCAGUAACUAGAUGAAGUGUUUCCAGAUAAUAUUUUGGUUAAGAUAUUCAAUUGCUGUUCAAGAAGUAAGGCCAGCACCAAAGCCCAUAACUGGGGUGAGGGGCAGGAAAUAUGGUGAAGAGCACUGUUUUCUAAAGGUCAUCCGUUGGAUUCCAGCCUCAUCUAGUUUGUGUUUGGUUUUCCUUUCUUUGAACCAUUGUUACUUUUAUGUAUGUAAUAGUUUUCUUUUAUGCAGUUUAUUUCUUUUACUUAAAUUUAUUUUUAAAUGCAAUUCUAUGUUGCUGUAUAAAUGGAAACACUAAUAUCACUUAUUAAUAGAAAGUAUCCCUAAAAAUAUACACAAUGAAGAUAAGAUGUGAUCAAAUUCCUGCUACAUACUGUUAUGAUUUGCUCAAGACUCUGAGUCCAAGGCUCUCCUUUCUUGGUUGAAAACAGAGAUUGGCCAAGUGUUAGAGAGGUAUUAAAGAGAUACUAACACCUAACUGAGUUGUUCUCCAUGUUGCAACAGAAGAUUGGAUGAAAAUUAUAACAGAGCGCUUUCUUACUGUGUGUGUCUGUGCAAUUAAACACCAUGACCGUGACCACCUAAGUCAUCACCCACACUUUGAAAAAUAGAGGCAUAAUGGGAGAACACAGACUAGGGAUGCAGAAUACUACUUUACAGCUCGGUAACUUUGGCAAGUGACUUACUCUUUUUGAUCUUCCAUCUCCUUAUUUAAUGAGAAGAAGAACAUCUUUAUAACUGUUAAAGUAACUGUAAGAAAGAAGGAAAUGAUAGAAUGUGUAAGCACCUAAUACAGUGGCUGGGCAUAGUAAGCAAUCAAGGGAUGGUUGAUUCAUUGACCUGUUUUCUCCCAGUUACUAAGACAAUGGAGCAAAAGCAGUCUUAUAAAAUGUGCAAGUGAUACUGCUACAACACCUCUGAAACAAGAACAGAAUAUUACAUUAUUAUACUUCAAUACUAGAAAAGUAGCCCCUUCCCCUCUUCAUCCCAAGAAAAUGUAUACAGUUCUAAGGAGGAAAAAGGGGGAAAACUAACAUAUAAGAGCACCAAUAUUGCCAGCUGCUCAACUGACAUCACCUGGAUAUACCAAAGGCACCAGAAUCUUGACAUGCUCCAAACCCAAAUCAUCUUUUACCUCUAAACGGGAUCCUCUCUCAUUCUUGUUAUUUCAAUGAACCAUAACACCAUGUAUCCCAUGAUGCAAACCAAAACCUCACAAAUAUUUUGGACUCUCCCCUGACCCUUAGCCUCGUGUGCAAUCCAGCAUGGAGUCUGGUCAAUUUCACCUUCAGUAUCUCUUCAAUCCAUCCACGUUUCUCCAUUAUCACCAACCUAGUCCAAGCUAGCAUCAUUGUGAUAGGUACUAGUGUACCGGUUAGAAAAUGGGUUCUGGAGUCAGACUGCCUGGUUUUGAAUCCUAAUACCAUAAUUUAUUAGCUGUGUGGCCUUAAGCAAGGUGCUUAACCACUCUAUACCUUGGUUUUCUCAUUUGUAUAGUAGAGAUGAGUACCGACCUCAUGGACAGGAGGACAGUUUAAAUAUGCAAAUUACUUAAAACAGUGCCUUGCAUAUAAUGAGCACUUAAUAGGGAUUAGUUGUUUUUGGUAUGGGGUUAGUUGUUUUUGGCUGUUAUUGUUUAACAUUUUACUAUGGAAAAUUUCAAACAGAGAGAGUAUAAUGUAAGUAACACCCACAUACCCAUUAUCCCCAAUCCAUAGAUUUUUAUAGUUUGCUUCUUUAAAUCAAGAUUGAAAUAAUGUCUAUAUAUUUCAACUGAUUCAUCAGUCUUAAACUCCUUUGAUCUAUGUAAUCCUGCUAUUUUUUUCCUUGUAAUUUUCUGUUGAAUAGUGGCAACAUUGUUCAGCAGAGUUUCACAAAGCAUAAAUUUUGCCGAUUGCAUCACCUGUUGUGUUAUUUAACAUGUUCUUCUAUCUUCUGAAUUUUCUGAGAGAACUAAAGUCUUGAUCAGAUGCAGAUUUGAUAUUUUUUACAUGUAUACUUCAUAGGUAAUAUUGUGAUCUUCCAUCAGAAGGCACCUAAAGACUAGUUAACCCUCAUUCUGUGAUUUUAGCAGCUAUUGAUGAUCAUUACCUAGAUCCAUUAUUUCACUAUGGAUUGAAAAAAUGAUAAUAUUCUAAUUUUGUUAUUAUUUAUUUGACAGCUAGAAGACUUCUGUUAGGAGAAGCGUUAUCCUGUCAGUUGAUUACCCUGAGUUAUUAUUAUUGCUGUUUGACAGAUGAAAAACUGACAUGGAGAAAAGUUAGACAAUUCCUCCAAAUCACAAAGAUAAUGCCUAGAUCUAGAAGCCAAACAGAUGGGUUGAAGGUGAUACCUAAUUUUAACAUUUGAUGACUCCUGCCAAAUUACCCUCUGAAAAGAAUUUAACAAUUUAUAUUCCUUCCACAUCAUUGCCUCUUUCCCCACAUCAUAAUAUUUGUUCAACUGAGAGAGUGCUUAACUCAGGAGAUCAAUAAAGGUUCAUAGAGGAAGAAGUAUUUGAAAUUGUCCUGGAAGAACAAUAUUUUUCAACAGGCAGAGAUGGAGAAAGGACAAUCUACAUGAACAGAACAGCAUGAGCAAAAAGAACUGGUUAGAGACUAUCCAUAGGAUAAAUUUCUAGCAAAUUGCUGAGUCCAGGAUAUGCAUGUUUGCAAUUUUGGAAGAUCUUAAAAACUUGCCUCCUAUAGGUGUUGUACCAGUAUAUACUUCUGCCAGUAAUAGAUGGGUGGGCUGCUGAUGCCUCAAAAUGUAAGUAUUUUCAAACUUUUAAAUUUUAGCCCAUUUAACAUAAUUUAAAAAUUAUGUCUCUGUGUGAUUUUAGUUCCAUUUCCCUUAUUAUAUAUAAGACUGAACAUCUUGGCAUAUGUUUAAGGGCCAUCUGCAUUUCCUUUUCUGUGCACUGUCAGCUUAUAUGCUUUGCCCAUUUUUUCUAGUAGAUGGUUAGUGUUUUUCUUAUUGAUUUGUAUAUAUUCUGUAUUACUCCUUUAUCACAUUGCCACAAAGAAAUGCCUGAGAUGGUGUCAUUUAUAGAGAAAAGAGGUUUAAUUGGCUCACAGUUCCACAGGCUAUACAGGAAGCAUGGCUGAGGAGG